AUUGAACGCUGGCGGCAGGCCUAACACAUGCAAGUCGAACGGUAGCACAGAGGAGCUUGCUCCUUGGGUGACGAGUGGCGGACGGGUGAGUAAUGUCUGGGAAACUGCCCGAUGGAGGGGGAUAACUACUGGAAACGGUAGCUAAUACCGUAUAACGUCGCAAGACCAAAGAGGGGGACCUUCGGGCCUCUUGCCAUCGGAUGUGCCCAGAUGGGAUUAGCUAGUAGGUGGGGUAACGGCUCACCUAGGCGACGAUCCCUAGCUGGUCUGAGAGGAUGACCAGCCACACUGGAACUGAGACACGGUCCAGACUCCUACGGGAGGCAGCAGUGGGGAAGAUUGCACAAUGGGCGCAAGCCUGAUGCAGCCAUGCCGCGUGUAUGAAGAAGGCCUUCGGGUUGUAAAGUACUUUCAGCGAGGAGGAAGGUGUUGAGGUUAAUAACCUCAGCAAUUGACGUUACUCGCAGAAGAAGCACCGGCUAACUCCGUGCCAGCCGCCGCAGUAA
rnacentral:rRNA from 1 species